rnacentral:lncRNA from 1 species
AGAGAGCCAAGCCUGGAAGUGGAGGAGACAGCGUGUUUUCCAGGCUGCUAUUGUGAAGCUUCAUGUCCUUCCAAAGCCAGCAUGAACAGACAGCUCUCUCAGAACAUCCCCUUGAAAGGCCAGUGUUCCAUUACUCUACCAUGAAUUUGUACAAAACCUUUGAAUCAUAUACUCACUACAUAUCUUAUAUAUAUCAUUACCACCCACAUACAAAUAAUAAAGAGAGCAUUUUCUACCAAUUGUCAAUACUGUCAGCCAGUCACAUUCGUUGAAUAGACAUGACUUUUAAGGCAUUGUUUGAUUAGAUACAAAUUUACAUAUACGCAUACAACUUAGGGAUCCCCAGUGUGGCAGGCACUCAGAGAAAACUAUCAUGGUAGAGUUGGAAGGCUAAAGAGUUUAGCUCCAUGGUCCCCAAACUACUGCUAGAGUUUGUGUGUGGUAUGUCCAAGAAACAAAGCAGAAGAAAUGGUAUGCCAUGCCUUUCUUGGUUACACAAAACUGGAAAGAUGAAUUUAGUAAAGGCUGUCUUGUAUUGACACUGUCUUUAGUUUCUAUUGUGCUCCAUUUACAAAGAAACAACCACUUGGCUCUUUGGUCUGGAAUUGCAUUUUAAUUUACUUCAGUCACUAUUACAAAUAAUACAGACGUAGGUACAUUGCCAGCCUUCAGAAUCCCCAGAGCGAUGUUGCUUCUCUCCCAGUUUUUAUGGGUCUGCUCUUCCUAUGUACAGUUUUUUCUAUGAAGUGUGUGCUUUGUCCUUUCAAAACUAUUCUGUAAAGCAUACAUUAUAAGACAAAGUGGACUCUCUUAUUCUGCACUCUGCAUACCUAGAGCUGUGGUUCUGAUCUAAAGGGUGGAAGAAGUCACUGUAGAAUUUGAAGCUGCACUGCUCCUCUGGGAAAACAUGAAAGCACUCUAAUGGUUGAAAGUAACAGCCAAAUGCCUUGUGUCAAAGACCCCUGGCGUCUCCCAGAGUAUAGAACACACCCGAUUGUUUUGGAAGCACUAAGAUUUCUGGUUGUAAGUCUCACCCACAGCAGUGUAUUGCUACAGUGUGUGUCUGUCACUCUUGAGGGUCCUUCCCUGUGACUAAGGUGGUCAUUGUGUUGCAUUUACAACUUGUAAAUUGGGACUUGUUGCCCAUGUCGCCAACUGGCAACCACACACUGAAGGCCGGAAUUAAAGCUGGUACCUAGCGCAUAUUUACACUGACCCUUGGUAUAACUUCGUCAUAGUCACUUAUGCCACCCUUCCAUCAAAGAAAGGAAUGAUGGAUGGAUACAGAGAACCCUCCCCUGUCUGUCUUUUAGUCUUUGUUCUCCCUUGAAACUUGGCUCCCUCUGAUACAAACACUAUCUAGUUCUCAAAUGUCAUGAAGCCACCUGUGUGUUGUCAGUGUCGCCAUGUCUUGCUCCCUGCUUUUCUGUCAUGUGUGUGUCUGUAUCAGUCUGCUCUGUUCACUUUCUCGUUUGUAGAGAACACUGAAAUCCACUCUGAACCAACGGCUGCUCCUACUCUACCUCCUACAGCUCCUCCUAAACCUAAACCC